UACGAGGGGGGCUAGCGUUGCUCGGAAUCACUGGGCGUAAAGGGUGCGUAGGCGGGUCUUUAAGUCAGGGGUGAAAUCCUGGAGCUCAACUCCAGAACUGCCUUUGAUACUGAAGAUCUUGAGUUCGGGAGAGGUGAGUGGAACUGGCGAGUGUAGAGGUGAAAUUCGUAGAUAUUCGCAAGAACACCAGUGGCGAAAGGCGGCUCACUGGCCCGAUACUGACGCUGAGGCA
rnacentral:rRNA from 1 species